GUUAAAAAGCUCGUAGUUGGAUUUCUGUGUUGGUGAGGCGGCCGGCCACUCGUGGUUGUAGCUAGUUAUCACCGACGCAUCUUGUCACAAUCCUGUCUGGCCUUCACUGGUUGGAUAUGGGGACUGACUCGUUUACUUUGAGAAAAUUAGAGUGUUCAAAGCAGGCUAUCGCCUUGAAUAUAUUAGCAUGGAAUAAUGAUAUAGGACUUUGGUUCUAUUUUGUUGGUUGUUCGAGAACCGAAGUAAUGAUUGAUAGGGACAGUUGGGGGCAUCAGUAUUCUGAAGCGAGAGGUGAAAUUCUUGGACCUUCGGAAGACUAACAGCUGCGAAAGCGUUUGCCUAGGAUGUUCUCUUUAAUCAAGAACGAAAGUUGGGGGAUCGAAGACGAUCAGAUACCGUCGUAGUCUCAACUAUAAACUAUGCCAGCUAGGGAUUGGUGGACGUUUAUUUACGACUCCAUCAGCACCUUAUGAGAAAUCAAAGCAUUUGGGUUCCGGGGGGAGUAUGGUCGCAAGGCUGAAACUUAAAGGAAUUGACGGGAGGGCGCCACCAGGAGUGGAGCCUGUGGCUUAAUUUGACUC
rnacentral:rRNA from 1 species